rnacentral:misc_RNA from 1 species
GUGGAGAUUUACUGUGUGGUCAGACAGAUACCAGUACAGCUAUAGUUUACAGAGUUUUUUAUUACUCUUGGUCUGGAAUGUUUAUCUGAGAUAAGCUUUCCAGUAUGAUGNNNUAUGAUGCAGAGUCAAGAGGGCAUCCAUCCAGAAGCAGUUCAGGAAACUAUUUGCAUUCAUCAGCAGGCAUACAUAGAAAUUCCUACAUACAUUCCAACACAUACAUGAUCUAACCCUAGCCUCUAACAUAUGGAGAAGAAGAGCUCAAGAUUUCCAAAUCAAAUCUCAUCCACAACUAAUGAGCUCUGCUUUUAAUAUACACCGCAACUUGGACAAUGGCAAUCACUAGUUUGAUGCUCCAGAAGUUUUAGAAACUCCUGUCCUUGCCUGGCCUUUAUUUUCAUCUCUUGAAACCUUAAAUGACCUCAAUUUGGAUGCUUUCAAUGAAUGUAUCAAAGGAGCCUCCUCUUCCUCCUCAUUUUGCUUUUCUUCUUCCCGUGCAUCUUCUUGAUCAGAUCCACUAAUUGAAUCCUCCUCUUCACUUGAACCAUGCUCACCAAAGAGUCUCUUUCCUUCUAUGUUUUGUUGCUUCCUUGGACGACCCCUGCGUCUUACAGCAGUCCCCUCUUUCUCAUCUGGGAAACCUUCAUUCUUUGCAUACUUUUCUCGCAAGUUGUCCACAAAUGUGUAGUAGGGGCGCCAACCACUGGGAUCUUCAUCAGUAUUUACAUUCUCUAUUCGGCUUUGGACAUCUUUUAGAAUUUCCAGGACAUCAGGUGUCGGCAAUUUGGAUACAAAAUAAAGCACUGCACUUUCCAGAAAAGACAACUGUUUUGGAGCUUCUAUGAAAGCAUAUUCAAUACCUUCCUU